GAGUUUGAUCAUGGCUCAGAUUGAACGCUGGCGGCAUGCCUUACACAUGCAAGUCGAACGGCAGCACGGGAGCUUGCUCCUGGUGGCGAGUGGCGAACGGGUGAGUAAUGCAUCGGAACGUAUCCUGGAGUGGGGGAUAACGUAGCGAAAGUUACGCUAAUACCGCAUAUUCUGUGAGCAGGAAAGCGGGGGACCUUCGGGCCUCGCGCUCUUGGAGCGGCCGAUGUCGGAUUAGCUAGUUGGUGAGGUAAAGGCUCACCAAGGCGACGAUCCGUAGCAGGUCUGAGAGGAUGAUCUGCCACACUGGAACUGAGACACGGUCCAGACUCCUACGGGAGGCAGCAGUGGGGAAUUUUUGGACAAUGGGGGCAACCCUGAUCCAGCCAUGCCGCGUGAGUGAAGAAGGCC
rnacentral:rRNA from 1 species